rnacentral:rRNA from 1 species
GAUGAACGCUGGCGGCGUGCCUAAUACAUGCAAGUCGAGCGAACAGACGAGGAGCUUGCUCCCCUGACUUUAGCGGCGGACGGGUGAGUAACACGUGGAUAACCUACCUAUAAGACUGGGAUGAUUUCGGGAAACCGGGGCUAAUACCGGAUGAUAUAUUGAACCGCAUUGUGCAAUAGUGAAAGACGGUUUUGCUGUCACUUAUAGCUGGAUCCGCGUCGCAUUAGCUAGUUGGUAAGGUAACGGCUUAGCAAGGCAACGAUGCGUAGCCGACCUGAGAGGGUGAUCGGCCACACUGGAACUGAGACACGGUACAGACUCCUACGGGAGGACGCAGUAGGGAAUCUUCCGCAAUGGGCGAAAGCCUGACGGAGCAAAGCCGCGUGAGUGAUGAAGGUCUUCGGAUCGUAAAACUCUGUUAUUAGGGAAGAACAAAUGUGUAAGUAACUAUGCACGUCUUGACGGUACCGAAUCAGAAAGCCACGGCUAACUACGUG